CAGCCGCCGCGGUAAUUCGGGGGGGGCGAGCGUUAUUCGGAAUUAUUGGGCGUAAAGGGCGUGUAGGCGGCCUCGCGUGUCCUCUGUGAAAGCCCUCGGCUCAACCGAGGAACUGCAGGGGAAACUGUGAGGCUUGAGUCCGGGAGAGGAGAGCGGAAUUCCCAGUGUAGCGGUGAAAUGCGUAGAUAUUGGGAGGAACACCAGUGGCGAAGGCGGCUCUCUGGACCGGUACUGACGCUAAAGCGCGAAAGCUAGGGGAGCAAACGGGAUUAGAUACCCCGGUAGUCCUAGCCGUAAACGAUGAGCGCUUGGUGUGGCGGGUAUCGACCCCUGCCGUGCCGAAGCUAACGCAUUAAGCGCUCCGCCUGGGGAGUACGGCCGCAAGGCUGAAACUCAAAGGAAUUGACGG
rnacentral:rRNA from 1 species